UCGUGGAACGAAGGGGUUGCAAACCUGCGUUACGGGUUUCGAUAGCUGCUUGAAAACCUCCACCAGCCAGUCGUUCGGAUUUUGAUACACGCUUACCAACUCGCAACUCUUUCUUCCGUAUCCGUGAAAAAGCGAAGAGGGACGGAAUAUUUUGCGUUCCCGUGCAAUUUACAUUCACGUCGCGAUGUCGUCAAGGACGGACACCUGCAGCGAGUGCAUUGAAUCGCACGUGAGCCGCAAUUCUUCUCGAAAAUUAAGCCAUCCUGGAUAGACAAUUGGGUAUAAAGGAUAGCGAAAUGGACUAUCGGGCGAUCGGAGGAACGGCGCUCAACGCAGCUGGAAACAUUGUCGUAGGCGAGAAGAGGUGAACGUUGCUCGUAUCCGAAUGUCGAGCGCAGGUGUGGAAGGAAACAAUGCGGUAUCGUGAACGGGUCGCAAAUCGACUUAUCUCCACUCGGACACAAGAGCAUCGGUGAACAGACGCUUUGGAAUGCGCUAAUCGUGCGAACACGCGCGACUGCCAGGUCGCUCGUAAUGCAACCUCUGGUCCCAAGAGUACAGUUUGACAGGUUUGCGUCCCGACGAUCGAUCUGCCACCAGAUCCCCGAAUCGAUCCGUAGCCCCUCGAAACCCCGUCGUCUCACCGUCAAUCUCGCCUUUCACCGCGUUAAUUGGAUUACGGAGUUUGCGUUGUGCCUUCGUCGCCGAAUAUAUAUCCUUCUUCUCCUUUUCACCGUGCAACCCGAUCGACGCGGCACAACGCGACGCGACGCGGCAUAUCUGUUCGCGAAUUAAGCAAUCGAAUUCACCGCGUUCGAGAUAAUUCAUCCCCUCGAACGGUGUUCCCGGUUAUUCCGCCACGACUUUUCUUCCUCUUUCUGCCCGCUAUAAUGCGAUUACCAGUUAAUGAAAAUUCGAACGACCGAUAAUAACCUCUUCGGUAUGGGAAUUAAUUAUGGAAAUUCUAUGAUGCCUACCAUGCGAAUUAUGCUUCCGUACGGAUAAAGUGAAUGACUUUUAAGGGAGAAUUACUUUCAAUACCUGUAUCUGUGAUAUAAUGUAAUGUAAUAAAAUACGUGUAAUAUACCGUGAU